rnacentral:lncRNA from 1 species
GGAUAGAGUCCUAGUCUGACUUGGACUCUUCAUUUCUAAUUUAAUUCUAAUCCAAAUUAAAUUUGGAUUAAAACCACUGAUAGAAAUGAGUUUAAUCUAAUUAAAAAUCUAAAUAUCUCAUCAAAUUUCUAACUUAAUUAGGAAUUAGCUAAGUCAAAAUUCUGAUUGAAUCAGGAUCAAAUUUUCCUUGUAAUCGGAUUUGAUCAUAUCAAUCCCAAUCUGAGGCGAACUGAAUCUAAUUCAAUUAGACUUGUUCCAAAACUUUUUACUCAAUCAAAUUAAGUCAAUUAGUAAUCUACUUGUUAAUUAAUUCUUCAUAAAUGAUAGAGUUUUAGUCCCAGUGGGACUCUCCCACAGAAUCCUAGUUCAAGUAGGACUCUUCACUAGAGUCACAAUCCAAUUAGACUCUUCAGCCAUU